rnacentral:tRNA from 2 species
CGGGGCGUGGCUCAGAGGUAAGAGCGCCUGGUUCGGGACCAGGAGGUCGGAGGUUCAAAUCCUCUCGCCCCGACCA